rnacentral:rRNA from 1 species
AACCUCCGCAAUGUGAGAAAUCGCGACGGGGGGAUCCCAAGUGCCAUUCUUAACGGGAUGGCUUUUCAUUAGUGUAAAGAGCUUUUGGAAUAAGGGCUGGGCAAGACCGGUGCCAGCCACCGCGGUAACACCGGCAGCUCUAGUGGUAGCAGUUUUUAUUGGGCCUAAAGCGUCCGUAGCCGGUUUAAUAAGUCUCUGGUGAAAUCCUGUAGCUUAACUGUGGGAAUUGCUGGAGAUACUAUUAGACUUGAGACCGGGAGAGGUUAGAGGUACUCCCAGGGUAGAGGUGAAAUUCUGUAAUCCUGGGAGGACCGCCUGUUGCGAAGGCGUCUAACUGGAACGGUUCUGACGGUGAGGGACGAAAGUUAGGGGCGCGAACCGGAUUAGAUACCCGGGUAGUCCUAACUGUAAACGAUGCGGACUUGGUGUUGGGGUGGUUUUGAGCUGCUCCAGUGCCGAAGGGAAGCUGUUAAGUCCGCCGCCUGGGAAGUACGGUCGCAAGACUGAAACUUAAAGGAAGU